CCUACGGGCGGCAGCAGUGGGGAAUAUUGGGCAAUGGGCGCAAGCCUGACCCAGCAAUGCCGCGUGAAGGAAGAAGGCUUUCGGGUUGUAAACCUCUUUUACAGGGGAAGAGCAGAAGACGGUACCCUGAAAACAAGCCACGGCUAACUACGUGGCAGCAGCCCCGGUAAUGCGUAGGGGGCAAGCGUUAUCCGGAUUUACUGGGUGUAAAGGGGGCGCAGACGGGAGCGCAAGCCCGGAGUGAAAGCCCGGGGGCCAAACCCGGGACUGCGCUUGGAACUGGGCGGCUGGAGUGCAGGAGGGGCAGGCGGAAUGCCGGGUGUAGCGGUGAAAUGCGUAGAUAUCAGGAGGAACACCGGUGGCGAAGGCGGCCUGCUGGACUGCGACUGACGUUGAGGCCCGAAAGCGUGGGGAGCAAACAGGAUUAGAUACCCUAGUAGUC
rnacentral:rRNA from 1 species